GGGGAAUAUUGCACAAUGGGCGCAAGCCUGAUGCAGCCAUGCCGCGUGUGUGAAGAAGGCCUUCGAGUUGUAAAGCACUUUCAGCGGGGAGGAAGGCGGUGAGGUUAAUAACCUUGUCGAUUGACGUUACCCGCAGAAGAAGCACCGGCUAACUCCGUGCCAGCAGCCGCGGUAAUACGGAGGGUGCAAGCGUUAAUCGGAAUUACUGGGCGUAAAGCGCACGCAGGCGGUCUGUCAAGUCGGAUGUGGAAUCCCCGGGCUCAACCUGGGAACUGCAUUCGAAACUGGCAGGCUAGAGUCUUGUAGAGGGGGGUAGAAUUCCAGGUGUAGCGGUGAAAUGCGUAGAGAUCUGGAGGAAUGCCGGUGGCGAAGGCGGCCCCCUGGACAAAGACUGACGCUCAGGUGCGAAAGCGUGGGGAGCAAAC
rnacentral:rRNA from 1 species